rnacentral:rRNA from 1 species
UACAGAGGGUGCGAGCGUUAAUCGGAAUUACUGGGCGUAAAGCGCACGUAGGUGGCUUGGCAAGUCGGGUGUGAAAUCCCCGGGCUUAACCUGGGAACUGCAUUUGUGACUGCAUAGCUAGAGUACGGUAGAGGGGGAUGGAAUUCCGCGUGUAGCAGUGAAAUGCGUAGAUAUGCGGAGGAACACCGAUGGCGAAGGCAAUCCCCUGGGCCUGCACUGACGCUCAUGCACGAAAGCGUGGGGAGCAAACAGG